rnacentral:rRNA from 1 species
GACGAACGCUGGCGGCGUGCUUAACACAUGCAAGUCGAGCGGAAAGGCCCUUCGGGGUACUCGAGCGGCGAACGGGUGAGUAACACGUGAGUAAUCUGCCCUUCACUCUGGGAUAGCCACCGGAAACGGUGAUUAAUACCGGAUACGACCACCGUGGGCAUCCGCUGGUGGUGGAAACUUUUUUGGGUGGGGGAUGUGCUCGCGGCAUAUCAGCUUGUUGGUGGGGUAAUGGCCUACCAAGGCUUCGACGGGUAGCCGGCCUGAGAGGGUGACCGGCCACACUGGGACUGAGACACGGCCCAGACUCCUACGGGAGGCAGCAGUGGGGAAUAUUGGACAAUGGGCGGAAGCCUGAUCCAGCAACGCCGCGUGAGGGAUGACGGCCUUCGGGUUGUAAACCUCUUUCAGCACCGACGAAGCGCAAGUGACGGUAGGUGCAGAAGAAGGACCGGCCAACUACGUGCCAGCCGCCGCCGUAACAC